UGUAUGUCCUUCUCCCAAUCUCAAUCUCUCUCAGUCGUUCGUCCUUCUCUCAAUCCCACAUCUCUCUCAGCCGGAGCAGCUCCCGACCCACUGCGCCGCCGCCCCACCCACUGCGCCGCCGCCCUCGCCCAUGGGACGCGUUCGUUCCCAAUUCGGGCCCCCGCCGCCUCCCUUUCCCCAUCCUCCCCCCUCCGACCCCACCCCACUCUCGCCGGAGACGGAGCAGGUCAGAUCCAUCCGCCCAAUCGCUCGUUCGCGCACCGGGACGACGACGACGACCUCGCCUCCGCAUGCCUGUGCUCGGGAACGGCCGACCAGAUCGAGCGCGGUAGCCUGAUUGCUCCGUCGCGCAGUCGUCGAGGCAGGUGCACGCACGCGUCCAGCGGCGAACCCUAGCCGUACCUCUGAGUGGAGACGGCGCCUUCCCCAACACCUCUGUCUGGCACAAGCCCCUCUAGUAAAACUGCAUCUUUGCCACUUAGUGAUGCUCUGUGUGCGUGUUUUGUCAAUCCAAAUGGAUUACCAAGUUGGAAGUUAACUGCAGACAGAUGAGGAAGUUGAAGUAUUUAGUGCUAUCUUGUUUCAGUUUCAGUUUUCCACUUAAGAAGUUGAAGUAAAUAGUAAAUUGCUGGUAAUGGAUGAGCAAAUAAAGUGGCUAGUCCUGUAUGUAUAUGCUUGCUCGUGAAUAACCUGGGAAAUUACUUUUGCUUGCUGCAAAACCUUUGCAUGUUGCAAGUUGUAACUAUGUGCACUGGUUAUAAAUUCAGAACCUAUAACAUCAAUGUUUUGUCAUGGUUAA